rnacentral:rRNA from 1 species
AACGAACGCUGGCGGCAUGCCUAACACAUGCAAGUCGAACGAGAUCUUCGGGUCUAGUGGCGCACGGGUGCGUAACGCGUGGGAAUCUGCCCUUUGGUUCGGAAUAACAGUUGGAAACGACUGCUAAUGCCGGAUGAUGACGAAAGUCCAAAGAUUUAUCGCCAGAGGAUGAGCCCGCGUAGGAUUAGCUAGUUGGUGUGGUAAAGGCGCACCAAGGCGACGAUCCUUAGCUGGUCUGAGAGGAUGAUCAGCCACACUGGGACUGAGACACGGCCCAGACUCCUCCGGGAGGCAGCAGUGGGGAAUAUUGGACAAGGGGCGAAAGCCUGAUCCAGCAAUGCCGCGUGAGUGAUGAAGGCCUUAGGGUUGUAAAGCUCUUUUACCCGGGAUGAUAAUGACAGUACCGGGAGAAUAAGCUCCGGCUAACUCCGUGCCAGCCGCCGCCGUAA